rnacentral:ncRNA from 1 species
AAUGUACCUGUGAUGAGGAGAGUAGAUAUAAGGAUUUGUUUCAGCGAGUCAGAGUUGGUGGGAGUCUGGCACAGAGUUAUAUCGAAGCGCACCUUGGAGGUUCUGUCCGAAGCUUAUAGUAGGACAAGGCGGUUUUCCACCGUUAUCAGGAAUAAAAGUGGGCAUAGAUUUUUGCCAAUAAGAGUGGUAACACGGGAUUAUACUCUCGUCUCUAAG